AAUACACUGCCUUGUUCGCUUCAGUAUGAUUUCAUAUGAUCCGACACUCUUUAAUAGGGAUUUCUCUCCGUUUGCGGAUUGCAGACCUCCCGCCAUUGCGGAAGAAGGGAGCGUGAAACAAUCGGGGGAAAGUUACCCACCGUACUUUAUGUGCGGGUUUCAUCGUCAUACCACGGCAAGGUGGUCUUAAA
rnacentral:other from 4 species